CGGAGGGAUCAUUACCGAGUUUUCAACUCCCAAACCCUUUUGUGAACAUACCUAUCGUUGCUUCGGCGGACUCGCCCCAGCGUCCGGCCGGCCCCGCGCCGGCCGCGGCCUGGAUCCAGGCGGCCGCCGGAGACCCCCAAACUCUGUAUUCUCAGUAUCUUCUGAAUCCGCCGCAAGGCAAAACAAAUGAAUCAAAACUUUCAACAACGGAUCUCUUGGUUCUGGCAUCGAUGAAGAACGCAGCGAAAUGCGAUAAGUAAUGUGAAUUGCAGAAUUCAGUGAAUCAUCGAAUCUUUGAACGCACAUUGCGCCCGCCAGCAUUCUGGCGGGCAUGCCUGUUCGAGCGUCAUUUCAACCCUCGACUUCCCUUUGGGGAAAUCGGCGUUGGGGACCGGCCGUAUACCGCCGGCCCCGAAAUGAAGUGGCGGCCCGUCCGCGGCGACCUCUGCGUAGUAAUCCAACUCGCACCGGAACCCCGACGUGGCCACGCCGUAAAACCCCCGACUUCUGAACGUG
rnacentral:rRNA from 1 species